GUGAGGAAUUUUCCGCAAUGGGCGAAAGCCUGACGGAGCAAUGCCGCGUGAAGGAUGAAGGCCUAUGGGUUGUAAACUUCUUUUCUCAGAAAAGAAUUAUGACGGUAUCUGAGGAAUAAGCAUCGGCUAACUCUGUGCCAGCAGCCGCGGUAAGACAGAGGAUGCAAGCGUUAUCCGGAAUGAUUGGGCGUAAAGCGUCUGUAGGUUGUUUAAAAAGUAUUCUGUCAAAGAUUAGGGCUUAACCCUAGAUAGGCAGAAUAAACUUUUAAGCUAGAGUUUUGUAGAGGCAGAGGGAAUGCCCGGUGGAGCGGUGAAAUGCGUAGAUAUCGGGAGGAACACCAAAGGCGAAGGCACUCUGCUGGGCCAAUACUAACACUGAGAGACGAAAGCGAGGGGAGCAAAUGGGAUUAGAAACCCCGGUAGUCC
rnacentral:rRNA from 1 species